UUCAGUAAUUAUGAUUUCUCAUUAAAUGAACUACAUCUCAAUUACCAAGUCAUGUUCCUAAUUUAUUCCUAAUCCAGCCAUGUCACAGAAUGCAUCCAGAGAGGUCAGACAAGUUGGGGACGCCGUACUUUUGCACCCUGCCAGGACAAGAGGAGAUAUGACAGAUGCUCGCUGGAUAAAAGCAAACAAGAAGAUUUCUAACUCUAGCGAAUGUGUGAUUUUUGAAAACGGAUCACUGCUAAUAGAAACAGCCAAUAAAAGUCACACAGGAAAUUAUACAGUGGAAUUGUUUCAGCCUUCUGGCCGUAGGAUUUCGAAAACCGACAUUGAGCUCAUCAUAAUAGACGCCGUUUCCCAGCCAGAGAUCUGCUCUUCCUGCACGUUAGACGGACAUACCCUUCUGGCCAGCAGGACCACUGUCCGAAGGUGCAGAGGUCGCAUUCCUGUGUGCAUCGUGUGUGGGCUGUUCUUCAGUGUUCUGGUAUGUUCCUUGGCCUGGCUGAAGUUAUACCGGACGCCAACAAGGCACAGUGUAGACACAGAGAACAUCUACCUUUCCAUGCAGG